ensembl:snRNA U6 U6 spliceosomal RNA
GUGCUUGCUUCAGCAGCACAUACACUAAAAUUGGAAUGAUAUAGAAAAGAUUAGCAUGGCCCCUGUGCAAGGAUGACAUGCAAAUUUGUGAAACAUUCCAUAUUUAU